UGAAAGUGAAUCUAGGGUUCCGCGGAGUUUUCCGGUCUGGUCCGAGCGAUUCGCAUGGUUUUUGUUUACCCUAAACCAUGACACCGUAGGGAGAAAAGCCCAGACGGA
rnacentral:sRNA from 1 species